CCAGGUUGCUAUUCUGGAAGCGGCAUUUCUGCCGCUACAAGAAGACACUCAAGAAUUGGUAAGGACCUGAAAGCCUAUGGUGGGAACAGCCAGCAUUAUUGAAGUUUCAGCUUUAGGAAGAUACCACAUGGCUAUCAGGUUUUCUAAGGGCUGGGAAGAAACGGUGGAUGCCGCCAUUUCCCACCUGUUGAAGACUUGCCUGUCGAAGAGUUCUAAGGAGCAGGCUUUGAACCUCAACAGCCAGCUGAACAUACCCAAAGACACAAGCCAACUGAAGAAACAUAUCACCUUGCUCUGCGAUAGAUUAGCCAAAGGUGGCCGUCUCUGCCUAAGUACCGAUGCAGCAGCCCCACAGACCAUGGUCAUGCCAGGUGGUUGUACUACAAUCCCAGAGUCAGACCUAGAAGAAAGAUCAGUAGAACAAGACUCUACAGAACUGUUUACCAACCAGAGACAUCU
rnacentral:sRNA from 1 species